rnacentral:lncRNA from 1 species
AUUGGCUGAUUCCCAUCCUCCAUUCUCAAUUAAUUGAGGGCAUUGAUCAGAUUGGUGUCCUUGAAUGGAGCAUACACCACAGAUUGUAGUUCCUUGCGUUUUGGGGCCUUCAACCAACUGCGAUAACAUAGACGUAAGGUUAGCCAUUUGGGAUUGUAACUCAGAAAUAUAACUUACCUCAUUUACAUGAUGUGGCCGUGGGGUGUCUCUUUGCCCAACACCUUCAUAUUGUUGUGCAUUGAGUGCUCGAUU